rnacentral:rRNA from 1 species
UACAGAGGUCCCAAGCGUUGUUCGGAUUCAUUGGGCGUAAAGGGUGCGUAGGUGGCGGGGCAAGUCAGGUGUGAAAUCCCGGGGCUCAACCCCGGAACUGCAUUUGAUACUGCCUUGCUGGAGUACUGGAGAGGAGACUGGAAUUUACGGUGUAGCAGUGAAAUGCGUAGAGAUCGUAAGGAAGACCAGUGGCGAAGGCGAGUCUCUGGACAGUUACUGACACUGAGGCACGAAGGCCAGGGGAGCAAACGGG